AGAGUUUGAUCCUGGCUCAGAACGAACGCUGGCGGCGUGCUUAACACAUGCAAGUCGAACGCGAAAGUUUCUUUCGGGAAACGAGUAGAGUGGCGCACGGGUGAGUAACGCGUAAGUAAUCUACCCUGGUAUUUGGGAUAACCCACCGAAAGGUGUGCUAAUACCGAAUACGCUGAUUUAUCAGGAAAGGUGGCCUCUUCAUGAAAGCUACUGUACCAGGAGGAGCUUGCGUACCAUUAGCUAGUUGGUAGGGUAAAGGCCUACCAAGGCGACGAUGGUUAGCGGGUCUGAGAGGAUGAUCCGCCACACUGGAACUGAAACACGGACCAGACUCCUACGGGAGGCAGCAGUGAGGAAUAUUGCGCAAUGGGGGAAACCCUGACGCAGCGACGCCGCGUGGAUGAUGAAGGCCUUCGGGUCGUAAAAUCCUGUCAGAUGGGAAGAAGUGUAUAUUGGUUAAUACCUGAUAUAUUUGACGGUACCAUCAAAGGAAGCACCGGCUAACUCCGUGCCAGCAGCCGCGGUAAUACGGAGGGUGCAAGCGUUGUUCGGAAUUACUGGGCGUAAAGCGCGCGUAGGCGGCUAUUUAAGUCAGAUGUGAAAGUCCACGGCUCAACCGUGGAAGUGCAUUUGAAACUGGGUAGCUUGAGUAUUGGAGGGGGUGGUGGAAUUCCCGGUGUAGAGGUGAAAUUCGUAGAUAUCGGGAGGAAUACCGGUGGCGAAGGCGACCACCUGGCCAAAUACUGACGCUGAUGUGCGAAAGCGUGGGGAGCAAACAGGAUUAGAUACCCUGGUAGUCCACGCCGUAAACGAUGUGAACUAGGUGUUGGGAUGGUUAAUCGUCUCAUUGCCGCAGCUAACGCAUUAAGUUCACCGCCUGGGGAGUACGGUCGCAAGAUUAAAACUCAAAGAAAUUGACGGGGGCCCGCACA
rnacentral:rRNA from 1 species